UUUUCUUUUUUAUAUUUUUUUUUCUUUUUUUUUUUACAAAGCUCUAGAUAAUAAAAAUAUCAGAUGUUAAAGUUUGGAGGUAUAAACAAGUCAUUCUAAAUCAGAAUAUUGCAAAAUUUUAAUGUUAGUGGAUUUUCUCAUUGUUGAAGCCCAUACAGUAACCUAUUUUACAUUAACAUCAUUUGGUCUCUGUAGGAUAGUUGUCUCACAUCUCUUGAUAUCACAACAAAUCAAUUUGUAGGUUCUAUAAAGUGGUCCAAUCCUAUGGUGAAGGGAGGGGGAAUUUUGACUGCCAACCGAGGAGGAUAUUUUUGGACAGAAAUUUAGCCUAUUAAUGCAACAAGCCACAUCCUACUGACACCUCAAAAGAGUUGUGACAAGGGUUCUUUAACGUGCAGAGUGGCACUGUCUGUCCCUACAAAUAGGACCUAUACUUUCCCGCUACCUCUAUGUGUAGACAACAUCACUGUUGUUGUGACAUUCUUAUUUCUAAGCCUUUAUUUAUGCCUGUUACAAGGCCCUUAGGGAGGAAAUAGUGGCAAAUAUUACUACACCCUCAAAUGGACUGUAGAAGUCCAGAUUACAAUAAUGGUACUUUCAGCACCAUUGCGCGGUUCGGUUGUCUUGCCAGCUCUUAAUUGUCCAAAAUGCUGUACAAUGGAUUAUGUUUUAAAAAUUGAAGAUAAAAGAUAAGUUUUGGAUAUCUACUUUUUCUUUCUUUGAAGAUGGCAAAUCAAAUUAUUAAUUCAUUAAAAAUUCAGAAUAACUCAAUUCUUUACACCACACAAACGCGCCAACAAAGAAUGUGCAAUGAAAGGAAU
rnacentral:lncRNA from 1 species